UAAGAUGCAGUGAAAAGAAGAGUAGUAAAAGAAUCAUUCUAUAAGAGAGCUAAUGUAUGCUGAGAAUUAGCGUUUGUGAAUUUUAUGAAGAUGGUCUUAGAGCAUGUUUUCUGAGCCAAUGUUAUUUGGUUAGGGAAGUACGGUAGCAACCGUUAUAUUGCAGGGUGAUGAUGGUCACCUACUGAGUUGCUUAUUGUGAAGUAAGCAGGAAUUAGAGUGGUAACACGUAUAAUACGUCUCUAUG
rnacentral:ncRNA from 1 species